CAGUAGCCGCGGUAAUACGAAGGGUGCAAGCGUUACUCGGAAUUACUGGGCGUAAAGCGUGCGUAGGUGGUUGUUUAAGUCCGUUGUGAAAGCCCUGGGCUCAACCUGGGAAUUGCAGUGGAUACUGGGCAACUAGAGUGUGGUAGAGGAUAGUGGAAUUUCCGGUGUAGCAGUGAAAUGCGUAGAGAUCGGAAGGAACAUCUGUGGCGAAGGCGACUAUCUGGGCCAACACUGACACUGAGGCACGAAAGCGUGGGGAGCAAACAGGAUUAGAUACCCCCGUAGUCCCUGUCUCUUAUAC
rnacentral:rRNA from 1 species